CUGUUGCAGAUGCCAAUUGAGUC
rnacentral:piRNA from 1 species